GAUGAACGCUGGCGGCGUGCCUAAUACAUGCAAGUCGAGCGAACGGACGAGAAGCUUGCUUUUCUGAUGUUAGCGGCGGACGGGUGAGUAACACGUGGAUAACCUACCUAUAAGACUGGGAUAACUUCGGGAAACCGGAGCUAAUACCGGAUAAUAUUUUGAACCGCAUGGUUCAAAAGUGAAAGACGGUCUUGCUGUCACUUAUAGAUGGAUUCGCGCUGCAUUAGCUAGUUGGUAAGGUAACGGCUUACCAAGGCAACGAUGCAUAGCCGACCUGAGAGGGUGAUCGGCCACACUGGAACUGAGACACGGUCCAGACUCCUACGGGAGGCAGCAGUAGGGAAUCUUCCGCAAUGGGCGAAAGCCUGACGGAGCAACGCCGCGUGAGUGAUGAAGGUCUUCGGAUCAUAAAACUCUGUUAUUAGGGAAGAACAUAUGUGUAAGUAACUGUGCACAUCUUGACGGUACCUAAUCAGAAAGCCACGGCUAACUACGUG
rnacentral:rRNA from 1 species